UUUAUGUUAACUUCAAAUGUGUACGCAGAAUUUAAUGUAGCUCCCAAGUAGCAAGACAACUUUCCUGGUCUGUGACAAUGCUACAAACGUGUUUGAUUUAUGGUUGUGAUCUAACAGCAAGUUUGCCUGUUGACUAACAUGUAUUACUGACGGUGUACAUGACUAAAACUUGAAUGGCCUUAAUUGCACCAGCUAGAUCAGGAAGUAGUGUUACUGUACAUUUUGUGUUUUUAUAAGCCAUACACUGUAGGAGGAAAAGAGGACAUGAGGUGUUGCGCAUUAUUAAGUCUUUGUUUGUCAGAGUGAUUCAAAGGCAAAACAAUGAGUGCGUGCUCUCUGGCAAUGUGUGUUCAUUGUAACGCUAGCUGAAUUCAAGUGGGAUCUGUGCAGGCAGUCAGCAGCACAAGGUGGGGGAGGGAGCGAGGAAAUAAACUAAAUUGAACAUCCAAAAGCACCAAAUUGAGUUUUAAAACUAUUGUACAAAAUGGCCACCCUUUUUCUCUUUCCUCAAAAGGAAAAUAACAAAAAUGUGGUUCAAAAAUCUACUGGGGGCCUAAAGAGAUGACAGAUCAGUCAGAGAAUUAGUAAUUCUUUCUUAGUCAGAUGAUCUGAUGUUUUCCUUAAACCAUCUGUCUCAUGAGUAAGCUUUAUUUUUGUGCAAACGGUGAUUGUCAAUUGGAAUCUGUUUGGACGUUGGAAUGAUUACUAACUGAGAAGAUUGUUUUAAUACACGACAUAUCAGUUUAUUGCUACAUUCAGAUAUUCAUCCUCAAUACAAGGCCUGAAUCUCGUAUAAAUAUAAAUAUUUUGUCAAACUUAGUUUAAAAUGUAGCAGCUGGCAUCGUACAUACUCGAGUUAUUCUCUGCAUGACAACCCCUAUACUCCAAAAAUGCACAGGGUACGGCCUUUAAAGUUCCUAUACCUGGGGAAUUGCAUGCAUUCGCGGGACCUACCUAGAUCUUCUUUUGUCAGUAUUUUCAGCACAGUACAAACAUGGCUGUGCCAAAAGGGCCUACAUGCAAGAACAGGACCAUCAUAAUUGUGGAAACCGUAUCAACGCUAUGCCAUGAAUGACUGAACAUGGCUUUAUUUGUGGUUUUUUUUUGGCAGGCUUAAAUUUUCCUCUCACUCCCCUAAAGUCUCUGUGCAUCUGUCUGCCAGUCAGCUGCACAUAUACUUUGCUGUUUCUUAUAAUCUAGGCUGCAAUGCAGAAAGAUGCUGUCUGUAACAAGGUAGCAGCCGCUGUACUGCUUUUCACUGCAAACCAAUCCUGUCUCACCGUGCAGCAUUUAGCCAAUAGCUGUGCAGAAUAUGUUAAAGAUUGACAAUCGCAGUAGCUGGACUCAGAAAGGCCUUCUGGAAAUUUCCUCCAUCUUUGUUCCACCAACAACAAGUUUGGCCGAGGACCCGCCUAAACAGGAGGAGGAGGACGAGGAGGAGGAGGAGGAGGAGGAGGGGGAAGAAGAAGAAGAAGAAAUAGAAGAAGAGGAAGAGGAAGAAGGAGGAGAAGAGAGGGGGGAGGAGGAGGUGAAGGGGAUGGAGAUCUCAACCAGAUCAAGAGAUCUUGGUUCGGGAGAACGUACGGGUCUGAAAAGAAAGCAGCUUAGCCCGCAGCCAUCUUCAAAUGGGCAUUCUCCACAAGAUGAAUCAUUGAGUCCAAUAAAAAAGAAGAAAAAACCUGGUUUAGCCAAUUCGAGUAAAGAGCAGUUGACACUUAGACGUGGUCCCUUUGCUUCUAUGAAGCAGCCAUUCACCAAAGACCUUCUUCAUGUUGUACCACAGGAUGGUCGAAAUGACUUCUAUUGCUGGGUGUGCCACCGGGAGGGCCAGGUUCUGUGCUGCGAACUCUGUCCUCGUGUCUACCAUGCAAAGUGUUUAAAACUGAACGCUGAACCGGAAGGGGACUGGUUCUGUCCAGAAUGUGAGAAAAUCACGGUCGCUGAAUGUAUUGAGACUCAAAGUAAAGCUAUGACUAUGCUCACUAUAGAUCAGUUGUCUUACCUGCUGAAAUUUGCACUACAGAAGAUGAAGCAGCCAGGAACUGAACCCUUCCAAAAGCCGGUUUCAUUAGAACAACAUCCUGAUUAUGCUGAAUAUAUCUUUCAUCCAAUGGACAUCUGCACAUUAGAAAAGAAUGUCAAGAAGAAGAUGUACGGUUGCACUGAGGCUUUCCUAGCUGAUGUCAAAUGGAUAUUGCAUAACUGCAUAAUAUAUAAUGGUGAUUUCUGUGUUGCAGCCAAUCAUAAAUUAACAGCAACAGCUAAAGUGAUCAUUAAGAUCUGCGAGCAUGAAAUGAAUGAAAUUGAAGUUUGUCCAGAAUGCUAUUUGGCUGCAUGCCAGAAGAGGGACAAUUGGUUCUGUGAGCCUUGUAGUAAUCCCCACCCACUUGUCUGGGCAAAGCUUAAAGGCUUUCCCUUCUGGCCUGCAAAAGCACUGCGGGACAAGGAAGGACAGGUUGACGCGCGAUUCUUUGGGCAGCAUGACAGGGCUUGGGUUCCAAUAAAUAACUGCUACCUCAUGUCCAGAGAAAUCCCCUUUUCUGUGAAAAAGACGAAAAGCAUCUUCAAUAGUGCAAUGCAAGAAAUGGAGGUAUAUGUGGAAAACAUUCGUAAAAAGUUUGGAACAUUCAAUUAUGCACCUUUUCGGUCACCAUACACUCCCAACAACCAAUUCCAGAUGCUGAAAGAUCCCCAGAACCCAGCCGCAGGAACUGCUAAGCCUGAUAAAUAUGAGAAAAUCAAACUAAACUUUGAUAUGACUGCCUCGCCAAAAAUAGUUCUCAGCAAGUCUCUGUUAAUCGGUGGUCCCAGUCAGAGAAUUUCACUAAUGGACACGCCUCGUUCACCAAUGAGCACCAAUUCUUCAGUGCACACUGGUUCUGACCUAGAAACUGAUCCUACAGAGAAGAGCAUGAAAGCUACUUCCAGUCACUUUAGUGCAAGCGAGGAGUCGAUGGACUUCAUUGACCGGAGCACAGCUUCUCCUGGAUCUAUGAAGACAAGUCAAGCUGGCAGUGUGUCGGGCAGCCCAAAACCCUUCUCUCCUCAGUCCUCCACUCCCAUUGCUGCUAAAUCAGAAAGGACUCUGAAAACCCCUCCUACGGGCAGCAUCCUUAAUCUAAACCUUGAUCGCAGUAAAGCAGAGAUGGAUCUGAAAGAGCUGAGUGAAUCUGUGGUGCAAUCAGCUCCUGUGCUCCUCACUUCACCCAAAAAACACCCAGUCCGGAGCAGUUUCCUGCUUAAUCUCGACAAGACAAUAGAAAGUUGUAAAGCACAGUUAGGGAUAAAUGAAAUUUCUGAAGAUGUUGAUGCGGGUGCGGAACACAGCGAUUCUGAAGAUUCAGAAAAAUCGGACACUUCUGACAGUGAAUAUGCCAGUGAUGAAGGUCCAAAGCUAAACAACGGACAAGAAGAGAGAGAGGAAAAGGAUGGUACCAGGAGUGAAAAGGAAUCUCCCUUUGUGAAAAAGAAGCCUAAACAUUUAGUAGUUCAUGGGGAAGUGAAGCAGGAGACCAAUCCAAGUUCUCUUGUGGCCAAAAAUGAGGCUCUGGGGAAGGAAAAGGCAAAUGGGGAUUCGGACAAAGAGCACAUUGAGAAAAUUAAAAAUCUACAUCAAGGAACAAAGGAGAAACUGGGAAAUAAAGAUGAGACUGAUUCUCCAACAGUGCAUUUGGGACUGGAUUCUGAUUCUGACAAUGAACUAGUUAUCGAUUUAGGAGAUGAAAGCAAAGAAGCUGUACGAGAAGGCAAGAAAGGUGAGAAGAGCAAAAAGGAGUCAACACCAACAAUGAAAGAAUCGCCAGCCUCGUCAAAUACGGAAAGUAAAGCAUCACCCACUGCAACCGUCUCCAGUCAACCUAAAGGUGAGGUUGCUUCUUCACAUCCCAGUCUCCCAAGCCAGACCCCUUCAACCACUAUAACAACAGCUGCCAGCGCGGUGUCCACAUCCACAGUUUCAGCUGCCACUGUUAGCAACAGUCCGGUUAAAAAGCAACGGCCUUUAUUGCCAAAGGAAACCGUACCAUCUGUCCAACGUGCAGUCGUGUGGAAUCCCUCGACCAAGUUUCAGACCUCCUCACAGAAAUGGCAUUUGCAGAAGGUCCAAAGGCAGCAACAGCAGCAGCAAGUGCCGACGACUCAACAGCAACAGUCUCAGAACACAGGAACGCGAUACCAGACAAGAUUGGCUGUGAAAGCUGUGCAGCAGAAAGAGGCAACUCUGGCAACUUCCACUUCUUCCAUUACUUUGGUUACAAGUACGUCAUCUCUAUCAGCAGCAGGCAGCAGUUCAGCAGUCGUGAACACAGCCUCCAGUUCGGUGUACAACACAGAUCUACCCAUAGCUACUCCAUCUGCUGACGUUGCUGCUGAUCUUACAAAGUAUACAAAUAAGAUGAUGGAAGCAAUAAAAGGAACAAUGACUGAAAUCUACAAUGAUUUCUCCAGAAACAGCUCUGGAAACACAAUAGCAGAGAUUCGACGAAUGAAAAUUGAAAUUGAUAAACUGCAGUGGUUGCAUCAGCAGGAGCUUGCAGAGAUGAAGCAUAAUCUUGAGCUAACAAUGGCAGAGAUGCGCCAGAGUCUUGAGCAGGAAAAGGACCGCAUGGUUGCAGAGAUCAAGAAGCAGAUAGAGGCGGAGAAGCAGCAGGCUGUUGACGAAACUAAGAAGAAGCAAUGGUGUGCAAAUUGCAGAAAGGAGGCCAUCUUCUACUGUUGUUGGAACACCAGCUACUGCGACUACCCUUGCCAGCAGGCACACUGGCCAGAGCACAUGAAGUCUUGUACUCAGUCAGCCACUGCCACUCAACAGGAACCAGAAUCAGAAGUGAACUCCGAGGCAUUGAAUAAAAGUGCACAGCCAGCCCCAACUGUCCAGCAAUCGCCACCGGAGGCCAAAGCAGGCCAAAAUGACAAGGAUCCCAGCCCAGAUAAGAAUAAGGAAAAUGUCACAGUAGAAGCAGGUGUGACCAGCCAUCAGCCUAUUAAACUGGUCCAAGUCCAGGCACCGUCAGCCACCUAGAUGCUAACAGCUCAGCCCACAAUCAAUAUUUCCAGAGGAUUCAGUUUACCACCACAAAGUUGAAAUUCGCUUUCAGGUCAUGCCCGUUGUGGCGAAUUCACCGGUUGGAGUAACGACUGUGCAGCCUGCGGUCCAGUGCGCCCAGACCACGACCCCUGUGCAAGCCCACAGAGCCUGAGAGCCCCAGAUUUAAUCUGAGGACAAUUGAAGAAAGCAGCAUAACGGAGCAAGACUUUGCAUGGGAAUUCAUCAGAACUGCCUUCGUUCUCCAACCUUGAACAGACACAUUGGUUAUCUGCUUUGUAUAUAAUAAUACAGAGCUUUUGUGACACUACAAAAUGCUAGCAUUAAAAAGAAUUUAUGCAAAGUCUACAGAAGACGACCACAUCUGGCAAUUUUUUCUUUUUUUUCCUAGAAUUUGUCAAUUCUUGAUACUCCAUCCCUGUUGGUAUUUUCCUGUAAUGUGACUUGAUGGAAGAUUGUAGGCUCUAGUUUCUGAAAAUGUAGUGAAUUGGGGAACAUAUACAGCAUGCGACAAAACUAAAAAGCCUUUAGUAGUUGGACCACGGCAUAUAAUAUUUAUAUGUAGGAGUCUGUGAAAUCCAGUGAUGUAAAAGCAUGAAAUGGGGGGUGGGCCAUGUCUUGGCAUUUCUAAUGAAGGAAUACAAAAUAGGGAGGUAUGUCUUGCUGCUCAAUGUUUCUCUUCUCCCCAUGUUCGCUCUUGUUUCCUCUUGGAGUGUCUGUUUUUUGAACAGGAGUUUAUGUAUAUGAGAUAAUCCUUGUGUUCAGAAUCGUUCCAGUGCUUUUCUGAUGUGUAUAUUUUUGUUUUUUUUAUUUUUCAUCCUGAUUUAUACAAGCAGUUUGUACAGUUUUCAACCAGUCCUGAUGAGUCAACGUUAAAAUAAAAAUUAGAAAAAAAAAUUGACACUAGUAAAUUUACCAUUGUUUUUGAGAACAUACUUGCUAGCCUAACUUGUGAAACAGGAUUGCUUUUAGCAUAUGGAAGUAUUUUUUCACAUUUCUUUGUACAAAGUUUAUAUUAAAAAUAGAUGAAACAAUAA